ACAAAGCAACUUAACACACUAACCACAAAUAAAGCUCAAAGAGCAUUACACAUCUUCUUGAUCAUUUACAAAUCAUUAAGCUCUCUCUUUCUCUCUGGUCUCUUUCUGCUAAUUCUGAAAUGGCUUCCAAGAGAGUUUCAAUGAUUUUGAAUGGGGUGUUCUUCAUUAUUAUGCUUUUAAUUUCAUCUAAUAAUAAUUAUAAUGUUUCUGCAAGAAAAUUUCUUGAUGUUAAUACCCCUCUUGAUGAUGCCUUCAACCUUCAAAUGGAUACAUCUUCAUUAUUCUAUAAAAUGGAGGGGGAGCUACAAGGGAGAUUCCAGGAUUUAUUAAAAGCAACCACUGAUAAUGAUAUUCCUCGAGGUGGAAACUACUAAUUAAGAUGGAAAAAUAGAAAAAAUGUUUAGCAGUUGUUACUAUAUUUUUGUAUCUUUGUAUUUGACAUUGCAGCAUAUUAAUGAAAUAACUUAUGCUACUUCCUUGAGAUGAAA